CAAUAGCGUAUAUUUAAGUUGUUGCAGUUAAAAAGCUCGUAGUUGGAUUUCGGGUUGGCUUCAGCGGUCUCGCUUUGCGUUUGUACUGCCGCAGCCUUCCUUCUUGCUGGGGACGGUCCUCCGGGCUUCAUUGCUUGGGGUCUGGAAUCAGCGACGUUACUUUGAGUAAAUUAGAGUGUUCAAAGCAAGCCUACGCUCUGAAUAUAAUAGCAUGGGAUAACACGACAGGACUCUGGCCUAUCGUGUUGGUCUGCAGGACCAGAGUAAUGAUUAAGAGGGACAGUCGGGGGCAUUCGUAUUCCGUUGUCAGAGGUGAAAUUCUUGGAUUUACGGAAGACGAACAUCUGCGAAAGCAUUUGCCAAGGAUGUUUUCAUUGA
rnacentral:rRNA from 1 species